UACAGAGGUCUCAAGCGUUGUUCGGAUUCAUUGGGCGUAAAGGGUGCGUAGGUGGCGCCGUAAGUCGGAUGUGAAAUUUCGGAGCUUAACUCCGAAACUGCAUUCGAUACUGCCGUGCUUGAGGACUGGAGAGGAGACUGGAAUUUACGGUGUAGCGGUGAAAUGCGUAGAUAUCGUAAGGAAGACCAGUGGCGAAGGCGGGUCUCUGGACAGUUCCUGACGCUGAGGCACGAAGGCCAGGGGAGCAAACGGG
rnacentral:rRNA from 1 species